UUUUAUCUAACUUCUUUGAACGUUUCUAACAAUUUUCUUUCGUACCAGGAACAAAAUGUACAAUUUUAAAAUACGAUCGCAUGCAACGACUAAAGACUAUAAUAAAAUUGAUACGAUAAUGCAAUUUGUAUAAAAUUAAUAUGUAUUCAUAAAUUUAUUUACAGAUAUAUAUAUACACCCGACCGUAGUUCAAAAUUACACCUGCAUAUCAUUGUUGUAUUAUCCAAACGGGAAACUAUUGUAAAAUAUUACGUACUUCAAAUAAGUACAUACAUAGAAAACAUAGCAGAUGCAACCCUCCAAACACACUUUGAAAAUGUGUAGCGGACGUGUAUCUACAGUCACGCCUCUGCAGACCGCUUAUACAACUAUACCUCAAAUGAUAAAACAGACCAACAACACAUAAAACAAUGAGAACAAUAGCUAAUGGCAUUAUACACACUACACGACACACAACGCAUUGUACUCACCACGUGUUCCAAAGACUUAUUUCAACUACUUAUUAUACUUAUUAGAUACAGUUUUAUUAAUAAAGUUUUCUAUAUUCGUUAAUCAUUUUGUAUAUCUUUAAUCUCGUGGUAUUAGUAAGCAGUGAUACCACAAAUGUUGUUUGCAAGCGCCAUCUACUGGGACGGGAAUUUUUUUGAAGCCCGAACUGUUUAUACACGUAUGUAUUACGUGUUGCCUAUCUUUCGGGCAAAAAAUUCCGCCCCAACAGACGGCACUCGCAAGCGACAUUUUCAAAGUGUGUCUGAAAGGUUGCAUACCUACAGGUACACAAAUUUAAAAUAAUUAAAUAAAUAAUUAUAAAAAAA